UUAAUGCAUCCUAAAAGGAAUAGCUGGCAGCAGGAGCAUAAGUUUUUAAUGAUGACGCGAAGGAAAUCACAACUCAAGUGGGUAGAUCUGGAAAUCAAUGAGUUCUAGCUUGAAACGAAUAAAAAACUAACUAAAUCGAAGCGAAAGAGGGUGCCAGCAGCUGCGGUCACUCCCUCUCUCGAGGAGCUAAUAAGGGUGCAGCUUAGAGGCAGUUAGUCAAAAAUGUGUGACGCAAGACAUACAGCAAGGACUAUGGGUGAAAUCUCAGUCUUGCGGGAGGUCCAAAGCUUGCGUAAAGAUGAAUCUGCGAAGUUAUGGGCAUAGACCCGGAUUUGGUACCCGGUUAUUCCAUAAUGUCAAGUAUAGCUAUUUUAUUUGAAUUAAUAGUUUGCUAGGGGUACUACGAGCAACUGCUUAAAACUCGAAGAACUUGGCGGUUCCGCAUAACCAUCCAGAGGCUCUUGGCGCUUAAUCUGAUGAUCCGCGUGAUAUCUUACCUGCCCUAUAGAAAGCAGUGUACUGCCGUCGAAAGCUUAUGAUGUGAGUAAAUAAAAAUAGGCCCAAUCUUGGGGUUUUAAGUAAUUAAUAAUCAUGCCGAGGCUAGGUCAGGUCGAAGUGCUCCUUAUGGGCAAGGGGUUAGCUGAGAGACAAAUAUUUAGACAUAUAAAGAUUUUAGGGAUGAAAUUCUCUUAGUGUAUAUAAGGAUUUGGGAGUAAAAAGAGAGUAACUCGUUUUUUUGAAAAGACGCAACUGCGGUGCGUUCAAAUCGCCCGUCACCCUAGCCGAAAGGAGAGGUAAGUCGUAACAUGGUAAGGGUAGGGGAACUUGCUCUUUUAAUGAUAGGGGA
rnacentral:rRNA from 1 species